ACAUAAUCCUCUAGAGCAAUGCGUAAGGGAUUUUUUCCCUGCAUAUGGUAUCUUUAAUCACUUAUGUUCUGGUAAAUUAAAUACCAUAUUCAACAUUAAAUUUAAUUCCAAAUUUAUUUACCUACUAUAGAAAUUGUGAGCUUGCAAGCACAACGCAAGGAAUCGAUAAUUUUAUAUGAGCUCUCAAUCUGACUUGCCUAAUUGAUCUUGAGGUAUUACAAAGUAGAAGCAUGCGUCUAGAUUUGAAAUACUGCUCUUACGCUUCUGCAGAAGUUAAACUGAUAAUCCUGCACAUUUCUUAUUCUUGGAAAAUUAAAAGCAAUUAUGUAUAUAUCUUGAUAGAUGUUUCUCCUGAUGUUCAUGUCCUAAUUAAAGAGAUUUUAGUUCAAUACAAUGUAAAAGAGUCCAACAAUCGUUCAUCCCCCAUUGGCAGGUUUUGUAGCAUAUUAUUGUUGUACCUAGACUACAAGUUGGAUAAGGAUGCUCAUGAGAUAUGAUUUGAAGGGCAGUUCUAUAAGAUGUCUAUAAGACUAGAAAUGCUUUACAAGUUAGUAUUUCAGAUAUUUAGAGACAUAUCCAGAAAAAAAGUUUACCUUAGAUGAGAGUAUUUAGAUGGACAAAUGACAAUACAUUAAUUAAUAAAUGAUUGCUUCGGUAAGAAUUCAGAGCUAGUUCCAUUGAGGACUUAACGAGGACGGGAUGGUUUGUUCAUGUGCCUACCAAUAAGAGCACCAUUUAUAAGUAGAAUCUAGUUGAUGGAGAAGGUGGUGGGCCUAAGUGAAUAUGUUGAAGGGAAUUAGAAAGGAUACAGUUGCUGAUAAUUUGACUGAUAACACUAUCUUUAAAAAACUGAAUGGAAGAGGACUUAGAGGAGGAUUCAAGUAACCAACCAAAAAAUGAUUGUCUUUCUUUUUUCAUUAUAGUUUUUGGGUUUUAACCACAGUACAAAAUCAUUGAUUUUUUCUCUUAAGAAGUGAGUCAUUCUCGUCCUUGGUGUGUUGUGAGACUUUGAGUAUGUGCUUGAAAUCAUGGUUUACUAUUCUGAUAUCUCUUGAGAGGUUUAAUUACAACAACGAAGUUCUUAAUUUCAAAACUUUUUGGUUAACUUGAUAAUAUUCGUCCAUUCAAUUUUAUUAAGUGCCUUGACCACAGUAAUUCAUCUAAGUUUCAUGAGGUCUGCAUCCUCAUUGCUCAAUUAACCAUGAGUCUAUUGUCCUACCACUUCUCCUGAAUGUCUUAGCUAUUAGCCAACAUUGCAUAUGCCUAAAUCAUCUCAGCAGAUUCUCUCUCUGUUUAUUCUCAACAAGAGUAACCUCUUACUUAUUAUAAAUGUAAUCAUUUCUUAUCCUACCUCUUAUUAUACUUACAUUACCCAUCUUACUUCCGCAUUUCUGCUGCAUUGAUUUUUAUACAUGUCGUUAAGAGUGGAAGGAACUUCCUUUGCAAAUCUUGAUUAUUCAUAGUGCACUCUUAUUUAUUUUGCAAAUGACAGUAUUGGUUGUAGCAAGAGCAUACAUGGUGUACAGUCAACCUACCUUUAGCUGUAAUGAAUCACUUCUUUUUACCCAGCCUGCCUUUUAUUUAAUUUUUUUCUCUUUCAGAUUUUCUAUUUUCCAUUGUCUGGAAUUAAUAUUUUUUUUACAUAAAGUUCAAUAAAUAUAAAACGGUAAGUAUAGCAUCUCCAUCAUUGCCUAAUUUUAAGUGUAUUUUGGUUUGUUUUUUAUGUAGAUUUUGUCUAAACGCCAUGAUCUUGAGGAUACUGAAGGGGCAUGCUUAGAUCCAUUUGAUGAGCCAGAAUGUGAGGCCUAUGAUCUCUUCAUCAAUGAAGUUCUUUGUCUUGGCAAAGGCUGUCCAUAUUCAUGUGUGAAAAGAGCACCCUAUGCCUUCUCAUUUACUGCUGAAAAUGGUACAGCGCGUGCCACUUCUCAAGGUUCGACAUGGUUUGAACUUCUUUAGCAGUGAAAUGAAGAUAGCAUGCACUAGUUUUAUUAACGAUUGCUUUUAGAGGUCGGUUCAGACCUCACUAAAACAUUGUCAAAACAACAAAGUCAAGCUCAAUUGGCAAUUUUUAGUAUUUCAAGUGGGUGGGUACGAGAGGGAAGGUAGAGAACAUGAUACUUCAUCUUAACAUUAUUAUUUGCAAAAGAGAAACAAAAGAACAAUAUUAGUAA